AGAAGAGAAAAAUAAAAAUUUUCCUAAGGCAUUUUCCCCUCCCAUAACCAUCGACCCUCACCCAAGAGAAAAGAAAUAAAUCUUCACUCCCUUUCCAAGCAAGCUAAAGCCUAUCCUCUAUUCUUCUCCUCUCUUUUGUUCUUCAAGAAACCAAACUCUUCUCAUCAUCUUCAAGCUUAUGACUCCAUAGCAAGUGAUAUCGUGUUGCUCUUCAUCCACAUGGCUAUACCUCUAUUUGGUCUUCCACUUGUGUUCUGAAAGGAGCUAAGAACUUAAGGUAAUGAUGAAAAGGCU